rnacentral:rRNA from 1 species
UACGUAGGGUGCAAGCGUUGUCCGGAAUUAUUGGGCGUAAAGAGCUCGUAGGCGGUCUGUUGCGUCCGCUGUGAAAGCCCGGGGCUUAACCCCGGGUCGGCAGUGGAUACGGGCAGGCUAGAGGUAGGUAGGGGAGAAUGGAAUUCCCGGUGUAGCGGUGAAAUGCGCAGAUAUCGGGAGGAACACCGGUGGCGAAGGCGGUUCUCUGGGCCUUACCUGACGCUGAGGAGCGAAAGCGUGGGGAGCGAACAGG